UCUUAUUCAAAAUAUCAGCAGGUUUUAUUGACAGCGGAAGUGAUGCCAGGAUUUAAUGACAUCAAAAACUAUGAGUUAACAACCGAGGGAGACCACAUGUGAAGUUAAUUCACUGCUCAGUGCCUAUAACGGUGGCAGUGGCCAGAGGAUCUGUUCUUGUUGGCUACACAAACAAGAUGCUCCAGAUGACCAACAAUAGGAAGCACAUGCUUUAUGUUUUCCCUCAAGAAAAACUACACUACACUCCUUUUAAGCUGUGGAUGGUACACCAACUUGGAACUUGAAGGCACGUGGCCCAGUGAAGAACAUGCAUAGACACAG